UGUGUCCAUUUUAUGUUCUGUCUGGUCCAGUUUUUGAGAGAAUACUAUUUUAACAUUAUUAAAUUAAACACAAGAAAGUUGUUUUUGAAUUUUCUAUGAUUUUAAAAAUGUCUGGAGAACAAUUUAAAUGUGAGUGCAGCGUUAUCGGUGUAAACUUGAUCAACCAAGAAAAGAUUUUUUAUUUUUGUUAGGGACUGUCUGAUGAGGGCAUUGAGGAUGGCUUUGAGGGGAAACAGGCCUCUCUUGAUGUCUUCAGACAGACAGAAAGGGGCCCCGACUUUAGAAAAAGAUAGAAAGCAGAUAGAUAGCUAUUUUAUUUUUAUUUUAUUUAUUUUUUGUUUGGUAUACACAGAAUAGGUCUUGGUUGAUCGUGGAUACACUGAGAAGCUGCAUUUGAGACUAAAAUUAAAGGAACAUAAAUUUAAGAAUGAUUUGGAUCAUUUAAAAAUUAGUCUUUGGGGCGGGUGAAGCCCAUGGAGAAAGGUUAAGAUUAAAUUGAACAUCAUAACUUCCUCAUAUAUGAAUGUUAAUAACUUCAUAUUCAUGUGUCUAUUCUGUGUUUCAUUUGUUAUUAUUAUGUGUGUUGUUUCACUAACUCAUUCUGGAACUAGUUUCUCCCCAUUGCAGACGGCUGAGAAAGAUGAUUUUAUGGAAGUUACUAAUGCUGCAGGAGGAAAUCAGGACACAAAGAAGACUGAAAAUGAUGUGACUGAUCUGAUAUAUCCUCCUGCGCUCAUUGCUGCUGCAUUUGUAGUUGUUCCACUGGCUGUGUCGGUUCUCUGGUGAUACUCCCUGAAAAAGAAAAUAUCUGUUUACUGAUACCAAAUUAUUAAGGAUUGAGGACUGAGCAGUAUCAAGACCAGUGGCAAGAGGUGACGACCCAAUGACGGUGUUCUUUAUGCACAUAAAAUGAAAUAGUCAUGCUUCAAUGAUGGCAACAGCAAGUUAGGACAGGAUGACCCGCUGAAGGAGAGAAGGUGGAAAACAAUUGUGGCCUACAAUACCAAUGAAUAAGAAAGACAUAUUAAUAUGGAUGUUAUUACUGACAUACUUGGGACAAGUGUUGCCCCCAAUGAUGGGGCCUACCAGAGAAACGUCCCAAGAAGUACCAGGAUCACCAGAUGAACAAUUCUAAGAAAGCAUACUGCAGAGUGGGUUCCCUACAAUCAGCCUUGGGGAUCUUGGAUGGCCUUUCCAAUGAAGCUGACCUAAAACGAAAUACUCCAGAAUGUGAAUUAAGAAA